UCAUUGUCAGGUAGCCCAAGAGAAAGUCGUGUGUGUGCAAUUGUGCCCUAAACUAGAAAGCACAUAAAAGAUUACAAGUCUUAAAUUCUUGACCGCUCCUUCCAUGUUAGGGUUGAAUAUUUGUCCAAUUCCUUUUGCAAGGGUCCUAACAACAAUCUCUAAGUCCAUUCCAAUGUCCAUUACAUGCUCGGGAAUUAUCUUAUUUUUUUGGUAUUUUUU
rnacentral:lncRNA from 1 species